GGGCAUGUUUUGUGUUGUAUUGUUUAACAAGUCCCAGUUUGAGGCGCCGAAAGGUGACGCAGUAACUGGUAGCGGUGACUUCAAUGGUAAACGAUAAUAUAACAGGAAUUGUCAUCGACGCAGAAGGCGCUUACCCUUGUGGAACAAAUAAGGCUGUGGUCACAGUGAAGUUCAAGAAAAGGUCAGGUCUACCGGGAAUGCCAUGUCGAUCUUCAAAGUCACAACCACGUUAAACCAGUUCAACGCUUCACUGUUCUGCCUGACAAAUUGCUAAAUACUAACACACAUGUUUCAAACGCGUCAUUUGUCAUUUUCUUGGACAAUACUGUUUGAUUAGUGAACUGCUGAUAGUAAAGUCGGAGGAGAGAAUCACUAAAUUGAAUGCUAUAUCAAGUAAACAGUGGUAACUGUUCUGUUUUUAUGUU